GAUGAAGAACGCAGCGAAAUGCGAUAAGUAGUGUGAAUUGCAGAAUUCAGUGAAUCAUCGAAUCUUUGAACGCACAUUGCGCCCUUUGGUAUUCCUUAGGGCAUGCCUGUUCGAGCGUCAUUUAAACCUUCAAGCUAAGCUUGGUGUUGGGUGACUGUCCGCUUCACUGCGGACUCGCCUCAAAAUUAUUGGCGGCCGGUACAUUGGCUUCGAGCGCAGCAGAAACGCGAACUCGGGCCCGUCGUAUUGGCUCCCAGAAGCUAUCUUCACAAUUUUGACCUCGGAUCAGGUAGGGAUACCCGCUGAACUUAAGCAUAUCAAUAAGCGGAGG
rnacentral:misc_RNA from 1 species